rnacentral:rRNA from 1 species
UACAGAGGGUGCGAGCGUUAAUCGGAUUUACUGGGCGUAAAGCGUGCGUAGGCGGCCAUUUAAGUCAAAUGUGAAAUCCCCGAGCUUAACUUGGGAAUUGCAUUCGAUACUGGAUGGCUAGAGUAUGGGAGAGGAUGGUAGAAUUCCAGGUGUAGCGGUGAAAUGCGUAGAGAUCUGGAGGAAUACCGAUGGCGAAGGCAGCCAUCUGGCCUAAUACUGACGCUGAGGUACGAAAGCAUGGGGAGCAAACAGGAUUAGAUACCCUGGUAGUCCAUGCCGUAAACGAUGUCUACUAGCCGUUGGGGCCUUUGAGGCUUUAGUGGCGCAGCUAACGCGAUAAGUAGACCGCCUGGGGAGUACGGUCGCAAGACUAAAACUCAAAUGAAUUGACGGGGGCCCGCACAAGCGGUGGAGCAUGUGGUUUAAUUCGAUGCAACGCGAAGAACCUUACCUGGCCUUGACAUACUAGAAACUUUCCAGAGAUGGAUUGGUGCCUUCGGGAAUCUAGAUACAGGUGCUGCAUGGCUGUCGUCAGCUCGUGUCGUGAGAUGUUGGGUUAAGUCCCGCAACGAGCGCAACCCUUUUCCUUACUUGCCAGCAUUUCGGAUGGGAACUUUAAGGAUACUGCCAGUGACAAACUGGAGGAAGGCGGGGACGACGUCAAGUCAUCAUGGCCCUUACGGCCAGGGCUACACACGUGCUACAAUGGUCGGUACAAAGGGUUGCUACCUAGCGAUAGGAUGCUAAUCUCAAAAAGCCGAUCGUAGUCCGGAUUGGAGUCUGCAACUCGACUCCAUGAAGUCGGAAUCGCUAGUAAUCGNGGAUCAGAAUGCCGCGGUGAAUACGUUCCCGGGCC